UGUGUGGCUUGGUGACAGAGCAUCUGCUCUGCAUGCAGAAGGUCCUGGGUUCAAUCCCUGUCUCCAAAA